rnacentral:rRNA from 1 species
GAUGAACGCUGGCGGCGUGCUUAACACAUGCAAGUCGAACGGUGAAGGCGGAGCUUGCUCUGCUGGAUCAAUGGCGAACGGGUGAGUAACACGUGAGCAAUCUGCCCCUGACUCUGGGAUAAGCGCUGGAAACGGCGUCUAAUACUGGAUACGAGCUGCAAAGGCAUCUUCAGCAGCUGGAAAGAACUUCGGUCAGGGAUGAGCUCGCGGCCUAUCAGCUUGUUGGUGAGGUAACGGCUCACCAAGGCGUCGACGGGUAGCCGGCCUGAGAGGGUGACCGGCCACACUGGGACUGAGACACGGCCCAGACUCCUACGGGAGGCAGCAGUGGGGAAUAUUGCACAAUGGGCGAAAGCCUGAUGCAGCAACGCCGCGUGAGGGACGACGGCCUUCGGGUUGUAAACCUCUUUUAGCAGGGAAGAAGCGAAAGUGACGGUACCUGCAGAAAAAGCGCCGGCUAACUACGUG